ensembl:snRNA U6 U6 spliceosomal RNA
GUGUUCGCUUUGGCAACACAUAUACUAAAAUUGGAAUGAUACAGAGAAAGAAGAUUAGCAUGGCCCCUGCGCAAGGAUGAUACACAAAUUCGUGAAGCGUUCCAUAUUUUU